AGUCCCUGUGCUUUAUCGGAUUCUUCCUCCGCCACUGGAAGGACAUAAUGCACAUGCGCAGAAAGUGCCUCUCGCACAUUAGGUCUUCCCAAUAUGAAAGCACUGAUUCAAUGCUUUCCUAUAGGGAUUUAGAUAAUGCUGGACAUGCAAUGCGUCAAACUCCAUGAAUGGCAAGAAAGUGACUUUAGUGGCUGUCUGGUAAAUAGCUG